UCACCCCCCAGCCCUCCGUCAUCCCCCAGCGCUCCCCUCCCCCACCCUGUCCUCUCUCCGUGGCCUUUCCCUUUCCCCUGCCAAGGUGCUGCCUCCCUCAGCGUCCUCCUCCCACCUCGCCCCAAUCGACUCCAGCCCAUUUCUCCAGUACUGGGCCCCACGUCCCUGUCACCCCAGUGUGCGAGUCCCUCAUCUCCACUCUCUCCUACCCCCCAACCUGCCGGAUUCCCCUUUUCAGACCCUGUGGGGCCCUCCAACCUGCCCCACCUUUCCUCUCUGGGCUCUCUAAAUCCCACAGUGCACUUGGUAACCCUACUCUCCUCUACCUCUAAUCCUCCUAGUCCCUUACCUUGGGUCCUCCUGGACACCUCAAACCCACAGUCCCGCCCCCCACAUAUAUCCCAGUCCUCAUUCACACGCUGAGCCAGUCCCUUGAGGCCCCCACUGCCCACCAAACUUCUCCAUCCAUGAGGCCCGGGAAGCAGGGGCAUGCUCCCAAUUUGGCUGGGCUUAGUGUGUGUGUGUGUGCUGGGCUCACAAAGGCAUUUUGCUCCCUUGGGGUGGGGUGUGGUGUGGCUUUUGGCACAAGGUGACAUGGCUUGGUAGCCCUGUGGAUGCCAUGUGGUGUCUGGAAUGGGGAGAGUGUGUUCCCAUGAUGCCCCUUCCCCUCUGCCUGCAGAGCUGAGGAAAGACAGGUCUGAGGAGCAGAGCAGAAGCUCUGGGAAGGAGAAGAGCAAUAUGAAGAUGGAGUCUAAGAUGACACCAGUUAUGACAGACGCACUGAGCACCUUUCCCCGACGUGAAGAAGACCCUGUGUGGCUCCAAAGCUGGUCGAGUAACAGGUAUCACCUCACUUGCCUUGUCUCCCUGUCUUCCAUUCUGCAAGUGUCCAACUUCCCCUUCGCUGCUGCUCUCCACCCCCCCCAGGCAACACCCCCAGGUCCCUUCACCUGCCAAACCUCCCCUGGACCCUGAGCCCGACCCCAACCCUGGGGGGGCUCCCCACCUGCAAACCCUAUGGAGCCUGGGGGGGCCUGCUCCGAGGAGG
rnacentral:lncRNA from 1 species